GCAAACUUGGUCAUUUAGAGGAAGUAAAAGUCGUAACAAGGUCUCCGUAGGUGAACCUGCGGAGGGAUCAUUACAGAGUUCGUGCCCACUAGGCAGACCUCCCACCCCACUGUUAUCGCUACAAUCGUUGCUUUGGCGGGCGUGGCCGCCCGCCAGAGGCCCUAAGGACCCUGUGUUAUUGUCGUCAGAGGGCUCGUACAAAUAGUCAAAAACUUUCAACAACGGAUCUCUUGGCUCUGGCAUCGAUGAAGAACGCAGC
rnacentral:misc_RNA from 1 species